GACGGGGCCCCGCACAAGCGUGGAGCAUGUGUUUAAUUCGAUGAUACGCGAGGACCUUACCAGGGCUUGACAUAUACAGGACGACAUUAGAGAUAGUGUUUCUUCUUCGGAAGCUUGUAUACAGGUGCUGCAUGGUUGUCGUCAGCUCGUGCCGUGAGGUGUUGGGUUAAGUCCCGCAACGAGCGCAACCCCUGUUGUAUGUUACCAUCAUUAAGUUGGGGACUCAUGCAAGACUGCCGGUGACAAACCGGAGGAAGGUGGGGAUGACGUCAAAUCAUCAUGGCCCUUAUGUCCUGGGCUACACACGUGCUACAAUGGCCGGUACAGAGUGAUGCGAAGCAGCGAUGUGGAGCAAAACGCUUAAAGCCGGUCUCAGUUCGGAUUGGAGUCUGAAACUCGACUCCAUGAAGGUGGAAUCGCUAGUAAUCGCGCAUCAGCAUGGCGCGGUGAAUACGUUCCCGGGCCUUGUACACACCGCCCGUCAAGCC
rnacentral:rRNA from 1 species